CUUGAUCGACCCCAGCCACAGCGGCCGAUCGGCCGGCCGGUCCUGCCCGUAGGUCGCCAGCACCGCUUGCGCCUC
rnacentral:antisense_RNA from 1 species